GACGAACGCUGGCGGCGCGCUUAACACAUGCAAGUCGAACGGAAAGGCCUGCUUUCCCUUGUGGAUUGCGGGUACUCGAGUGGCGAACGGGUGAGUAACACGUGAGUGAUCUGCCCCCAACUUGGGUAUAAGCCUGGGAAACUGGGUCUAAUUCCCGAUAGGACUGCAGGGUGGUGCCUGUGGUGGAAAACGAUUUUCUAGUGGUUGGGGAUGAGCUCGCGGCCUAUCAGCUUGUUGGUGGGGUAAUGGCCUACCAAGGCGGCGACGGGUAGCCGGCCUGAGAGGGUGGACGGCGACAUUGGGACUGAGAUACGGCCCAGACUCCUACGGGAGGCAGCAGUGGGGAAUAGUGCACAAUGGGCGGAAGCCUGAUGCAGCGACGCCGCGUGGGGGAUGACGGCCUUCGGGUGGUAAACUCCUUUCGACCGCGAGGAAGCCACCUGGUUGGAAGGGUGGUGACGGUAGUGGUAGAAGAAGCACCGGCUAACUACGUG
rnacentral:rRNA from 1 species